UCGGUAAGGGUAUUUUAGUAAUUUUACAUUUAAAAGUAAGGGUAAAUAAGUAAUUCUCUAUUUUCAAUAAUUUUAAUUUAGCCCAAAUUAAGUAGUUAGAGGCUUAAUUGAAAAGCUAAAAAAAGUUAGGGGAUUAAACAUAAAUUUUAUAGGGCGAAAUUGUUAGUAAUUAAAAGAGAAAAGGGACUAAAUGGGGAAGAAGAAAAAGUUGAAGAACUAAAUGUCGACAAGGAAAGAAAGAAAAGAAAAGAAGAAAAUAAGGAAGAAGAAGAAGAUGGAAGAGGGGGAGCUUAGGUCGGCUUUCAUGGCAGACGGGGAUUGCGUUCGUCUUGGACAUGGCGAAGCCAGCCGGAGGCUGAUGAGCUCGAUGGAAGAUGCGGCAAUAACUCGGACAACGUCAAGUGGCAGCAAAUAGGCAAAAAGGACCAGCAGCUUCCCGCUAUCAUUUAGGUUGACUCUGAUAGCCAUUUUGGGUGGUUCCGGUCUUAAAAUGACCAGCAACCAAUGAGUUUUCAUCUUUGCUCAUCAUCUCCCCCCAUGGUUUCCGGAAAAGCGUGAUUCGGCGAAGAAAAUUUAGUAGGGGCAGCCGAGAUUUUGGGCAUUUUCCAGCGAGUUCCGGCGAGGGAUGGCCGAUCAGAGGAGAUAUCC
rnacentral:lncRNA from 1 species